AAUAUUGCGCAAUGGAGGGAACUCUGACGCAGCGACGCCGCGUGAGCGAUGAAGGUCUUCGGAUCGUAAAGCUCUGUCCUUGGGGAAGAAGGUCUUCGGCCUUGACGGUACCUAAGGCGGAAGCCCCGGCUAACGACGUGCCAGCAGCCGCGGUAAUACGUAGGGGGCAAGCGUUGUCCGGAAUUAUUGGGCGUAAAGGGUGCGUAGGCGGCCUUUUAAGUCAGAUGUGAAAGCCCACGGCUUAACCGUGGGACUGCAUUUGAAACUGGAGGGCUUGAGUAUCGGAGAGGGUAGUGGAAUUCCCAGUGUAGCGGUGAAAUGCGUAGAGAUAUGGAGGAACACCAGUGGCGAAGGCGACUCUCUGGUCUGUAACUGACGCUGAGGCGCGAAAGCGUGGGGAUCAAACA
rnacentral:rRNA from 1 species